rnacentral:tRNA from 1 species
UGCAUUGGCAGGGAAUCGAACCCGGGCCGCCCGCGUUGCAGGCGAGCAUUCUACCACUGAACCACCGAUGC